ensembl:lncRNA
GGGAGGAGGGGGUGGUGGGGUGGGGUGGGGGGGUGAGAGAUUAUCUCGUAGUACGUAUGGUGGAGAGAGGAGUCGCUCGGAUCUGGAUUUGGAAAUUAACUGCAAACAAUAGAGGAAUGAAUAAAUCAUAGUCAAUGGGACGGGUGGAAGGUGGGGGAGGGGAGGACGUGUCAGGAAAGCGAUAUGAAGUAUGACUCAACGCUGCAAGGAGAAAUGACCUGAUGGAACACAGCAGAGACUCCUGUCACUGAGCACAAAGUGAUAUGAGUGUGUGUGUGUGUGUCUUCCAUGAAGUUUGUGUGUGCAUGUGUGUCUGUACUGUACACUGAUUACUGCGUGUAGGUUAGUUGUGUGUGUGUGUGUGUUUGUGUGUGUGUGUGUGGGUGUCUGUGUGUGUGUGUGUGGGUGGUGUUUGCCGUCAUCUGAAGCAAGGAGAACGAUCUAGAAGGAUUGCAGAGUACUGGUUAGAAGAGAAGAGAAAAACGAAAGCAGGAGAGAGAGAGAGCGAGAGAGAGCGAGAGAGAGAGAGAGAGAGAAAGAGGACUUGUCCCAAAUGGCACCCUGCAGUUCUGCACAAAUUCUUCACUUCGAUAAGGGCGAGAAAGUGGAAAUCUAUCGUAAGGUAGUGUUACAGUGUGAAAGGGUGCGGGAGUUCAGAAAAAGUUUAAAAAAAAUAAAUAAAAUAAAAUAAAGCAUCAGCUACCACUUCUAGUUGCUAGUUAGCUAGCUAAGGGCAUGAAUCGUCGAGCUUCGAGCCGUUAUGGUCUGUCCUUGCAUCACACGUAAAAGAUGAUAUUCGCGCCUGGCUAGCGUCUUUACUUCUUAGCGAGAAGGACAUGAGGGAUUUUACGUGUUCGGGUAUAAAACUCGGGACAGAUAGCGUUAAACCCUCCAUUUUCCAUUUCCUCGAUCGGUCGUUCGAUCAUGCGUCAUGAUCACGUGUUGCUUGAGAACCGCGAGAGCCCGGCCCGAGUGGCGCAACAGAAAAGUAUUCGCCCUGGCCACAAUGCCACAGGAGUCCAAGAGGGCAAAACCGGCCGUGCUCUCUGGGUGGGAGGGGCAUACUCGAUCGGUCCCCUGUCAAUCACAGCGACGGCGGCCAAUCACGUGGAAGAGGGUGGAUAGCGUUUCCGUCCGAGCGCUGUAGUGUAGUGUCGUGUCGUGUCGUGUCGUCUAUCCUGCCCUGCGAUGUAGCGGUUUGAGAAGACGUGGUUGACUGGCUUCACGUGUCUUCGAGGAGGCACGUCUUAGAGUUCACCCCCCCCAGUUAGUCGCUGUCAUAUGAUCAAGAUAAAUGAAUGAUGAUUACAUGAAUCGAGUUCGAUUAACGGCGGUAGACUCGUCGUCCCCCGUUCGUGUCACGGUUCCCACGGAGACAAGAGCGUUUGGUUUGCCGCCCUACUGUGUUCACCUGUUCUGUGUUCGUUCUUGAUUCCAGUGUCUACGCCGUUUCUUCGUUUCGUCGUGAGCGCGUAUCGCGGUUGAUUUAUUUGCCGUGGUGUAUCGUGCGGGUUUCCGAGUCGCGCCCGGUUACGAUGGCUGGAUUUGCCCGUGAAAAAAACCCGCGUUGACUUUACGCACGCGAACCCGCUCCGUGUUCCUGCUCUCUGCCGCCGGUCGGAAUGGUUCCUCAACGAUAUCGGGUUACGGGGUAAGAGGCCGCUGCUGAGUCCACAUCCGUACUGGCACUGGAGAGCACGCUAUUGGACCCUAAAAUGAGAAAUGAGAAAGCCUCGAGGUGCUCACAGGCUAGCAGGAGCACCAGAGCGAUAUUUGGGACCAGGAGAAGAGAUAGAGAAAAGAAAGGAGGAAAGAAAGAAAGAAAGAAAGAAAGAAAGAAAGAAGAGGAAGAAGGAAAAGGGAGGGGCAAGGAAGCGAACAUCGAACAUGACCACUACACAAGGUGCUGGGUUAGGAGAGGAGAGGAGAGGGGAAUGAGAGGAGAGGAGAGGAGAGGAGAGGAGAGGAGAGGAGAGGAGAGGGGGAUCUGUGGAUUUUAUGUUCAUUGUGGUCUUUACCUUUUUGAUCCACUUCUAUUCAAGCAUCAGAAAAAAAGGAGAAAGAGAGAGAGAGACACAGACAGAACAAAAGAGACAGAUAGAAAGAGAGACAGAAUUAGAGAGAGAGAGAGAGAGAGAGAGGGAGAGAGAGAACAGAAGAGAAGAUCGAAAGAAAAAAGAAGAAACAGGUGCAGGAAAAAGAGAAAAUUGAGAUUCAAUAAAAGCUUGUCCUUUCUCUCUUGUCUACAAAUCAUGUUAUUUUGUGUGUGUAUGUAUAAGUGUGUGUGUGAAAGUGUGUGUGUAUGUGUGAGAGUGUAAAAGAGUGUGUGCGUGUGCGUGUGUGUGUGUGUGUGUGUGUGUGCUGUUGGCUCUUUAGAGAAAGGAUGACUCAGGUGAAAAAUGAGGAGGGAGAAUGGCCUCGACUGCUUUUAACUCUGUUUCAAUAACCCCGUCCUGCUCCGUCUUCCUUCUUUUCUUUACACACCGACGGCUUUCACACUUGUCUCCCCCCCUGAUCCCUCCAUCAUCAUCCCCCUCUCCCUCCCUCCUUCCCUCCCUCCCUCCCUCCCUCCAUCAU